AUUGAACGCUGGCGGCAUGCUUUACGCAUGCAAGUCGAACGGUAACAGGCCUUCGGGUGCUGACGAGUGGCGAACGGGUGAGUAAUGCAUCGGAACGUGCCCAGAGGUGGGGGAUAACGCAGCGAAAGCUGUGCUAAUACCGCAUGUGAUCUGAGGAUGAAAGCGGGGGACCAAGCAGCAAUGUUUGGCCUCGCGCCUCUGGAGCGGCCGAUGUCAGAUUAGGUAGUUGGUGGGGUAAAGGCCUACCAAGCCGACGAUCUGUAGCUGGUCUGAGAGGACGACCAGCCACACUGGGACUGAGACACGGCCCAGACUCCUACGGGAGGCAGCAGUGGGGAAUUUUGGACAAUGGGCGCAAGCCUGAUCCAGCAAUGCCGCGUGCGGGAAGAAGGCCUUCGGGUUGUAAACCGCUUUUGUACGGAACGAAAAGGCUCUGGCUAAUACCUGGGGCUGAUGACGGUACCAUAAGAAUAAGCACCGGCUAACUACGUG
rnacentral:rRNA from 1 species